UUUUGUGCAUGAAAACAUAUUGGAGCACUAUCUAUGUGAUCCUGAGCAAGUCAAUGAACUCUGUUUGCCUUAUUUUCCUCAGCUGUAAAAUGAGCUGGAUUAGAAAAUGGCAAACCAUUCUAGUAUUUCUGCCAAGAAAACCCCAACUGGAGUCAUGGAGAGUUGGACAUAAAUGAAAAACUACCAAACAAAAUUAUCUUUACUCCAUGGAAGAGCUCUGCACUUCUUACUCUCCUAUUGAGGACAAGCAAACAAUAACUCAUUUAACCUUCUAGGGAUCCAAUGCCAGAGGGUAUAGACACUUUUGGUGCCAAGGUGAUGGAAUGAAGAAAGAACCUUCUGAAAUCCUUCUAAAUACUUUUCCAAACAACUAGAAAAACACCUCAGAACUGAUCUAGGAGCAGGGAAGCAGUUUGCCAGACCAGUAGGAAACAUCUAUCUCACUGUGGUGGAGGAGAGCAAGGUCCAAAAGUGACAGUAACAGUCAGUCUCACCACAGAGAGACUGCAGGAGGACUCUUAGCCACAGGCACCCCAACAGUGGGGCUGCCCCUGAGGCUAGGGAGCAGUCUGUGCAGUUCAGCCAGGCCCCACCCCAGCAACUCCAACUCCACCAACAAGGCCCUGACUCUAUUGCUGACCAGUAUGAAGCCCCAUUCCAGGAGUAGAGCAAUGAGAAUCCACUCCUGAAGCCUACCAGCAGAGACUCCAUUUCCAAUAGCAGUCCAGAAGCAGGGACCCACUGGGGUUGACCAGCAAUAAGAUCCAUUCCCCAGGAUCAGCUUCCAGAAAGACACUGUUACCAUAAAAAACAAAACAAAACUCAGUAGCACAGCCCCACUUUUGGACUCUACACCAGGGGCAGACAAUAGGAGGAUCCAACCUCAAGUAUAAGUCAGAAGGAAAACCUAUCUUACAAAGAAAGCAAGUAGCUAAGCCCUGAAAACCAGCAAAACCCAGAGUAAGAACCAGAGUCCAGCACAAAAAGUUUGGGACUGUGCAGGCCCAAAGGCCUACUCUCAAAUAAAAACAUCAAGUCACAAAAAAGGAAGAAAAAAGUGAGGAUAAAAAAGCUUGACUAUAGAAAAUUGUUUUGGUGAUUGGGAGGAUCAAGGUAUAAACUUAGAAAAAAGAUACUAGGAUCAAAAUAGCUACAUGUGAAGCCUCAAAGAAAAAUGUAAUUUGUUUUCAGAGCCAAAAAGAAUUCCUAGAAAAACUUAAAGGAGAUUUUAAAAAGCAAAUUAGAGAAGUAGAAGAAAAAUUGGGAAAAGAAAUGAGAGUAAUGGAAGGGAAUAUUGAAAAAAAAAAAUCAGUAGCAUGAGGAAAUGAUAUAUAAAAAAAUUACCAAACAAAAUGAUUCCCUAAAAAAAGGAAUUCACCAAAUGGAAAAGGAAGUACAGAAUCUCACUAAAGAAAAUAAUUCCUUAAAAAUUGUGAUUGAACAAAUGGAAAUGAAGGAUCUAUGGGACAUCAAAAUAUGAUAAAACAAAAUCAAAAAAAGUUUAAAAAAUAGAAGAAAAAUGUGAAAUUUCUCAUUGGAAAACCACUAACUAGAUCUAGGAAUAAUAGAAUAAGAAUUAUUUGACUAUCUGAAAGUAAUGACCAAGAAAAAAUUCUGAACAACAUAGAGGCAUAGUGGAUAGAGCACCAGCCUUGAAGUCAGGAGGAUCUGAGUUCAAAUUUGACCUCAGACACUCUAACACUAUGUGACCCUGGGCAAAUCACUUACCUUCAAUUGCCUCAGCAAAAAAUAAAAAAUAAAAAUACUCAUAUAUUAAAACAAGAGGGCAAAACAGAAACUAAUAGAAUCUACCAAGAGUUAUCUGAAAGAAUACCCAAAAUGAAAAUUCUAAGAAUUAUUGGAGCCAAAUUCCAGAGCUCAUAGGUAAAGGAGAAAGUAUUACAAGCAGCAAAAAAUAAAUAAUUCAAAUAUCAUGGAAUUACAAUUAAGAUUACACAGGAUUAGGCAGCUUUCACAUUAAAGAAUGGGUUUGAAAUGUGAUAUAUGAAAAGACAAAGGAGUUAGGAUUAAAACUAAGAAUCACCUACCCAGCAAAAUUAAAUAUUAUUUUUCAAGGGAAAAUGUAUAUUAAGUGAAAUAAUGGACUUUCAAGCAUUUCUAAUUAAAAGACCAAAACUGAAUUUUUAAAAAAUGACUUCCACAAACAAGACUCAAGGUAAACAUAAAAAAAGGUAAACAAGAAACAUGAAAUAAAAAAAUGAGAAAUUCAUUAAGGAUGAACUUCAUAUUUCUUUAUGGCAAAAUAAUAUUUGUAACUUAACAACUUUACCUGCAUGAAAUCAAUUAAGAGUAUAUGUAGACAGGUAAUGGAUAUAGAGAGCCUUUGAUGGGAUGUUACCCCCCUCUUCACAAAAAAUAAAUAAAUAAAUAAAGGUAAUAAGAAAGAAAAGUGCACUAGAAGGAAGGAAGAGAUUAAAUGAAAUAAAUUACCUCACAUAAAAGAUGUAUGAAAAAUUUAUUAUAUGGAAAGGAAUCUGGGGAAAGGGAAGGGUUGGGUUGGAGGGCAAAACUUAAAUCUUACUCUCAUUUAAAUUGACUUGAAGAGGAAAUAAUAUAUGCACUCAGAUGGCUAUAGAAAUCUAUCUUGUUCUAUAAGGAAGUAAAAAAGUGAAUGGGAUAGGACAGGGGUAAUAGAAGAGGGAGUGGUCAGAAAUAAAAUGUGUGAGAAAGGAAAGCAUGGAAUAUAAGGGAUACAUGGGGAUAAACAAGUGAAAAAUAUCAUGGAGGGAAAAACAAAAUUAGUUCUCAUAACUGUAAAUGUGUAUGGGAUGGACUCAUUCAUAAAAUGGAGUGGACAGUAGAAUCGAUUAAAAACAGAAUCCAACAAUAUGUUGUUCAUAAGAAAUACAUAUUAUCCAGAAGGAUGCACACAGGGUAAGCAGAAUUUGGAGCAGUAUCUGUUAUGCUUUAGCUAAAGCAAAGAAAGCAGGGGAAGCAAUUAUGAUCUCAGACAAAACAAAAGUAAAAAUAGGUCUAAAUAAAGAAAGAAAGAAGGAUACUAUAUCUUGUUAAAAGACACUCGUGACAAUGGAGUGAUAUAUAUGCUAAACUCCAAAUGGUACAGCAUCUAUUUUUUGAAGGAGAUAGGAGUUAUGAGGUGAAAUAGAUAAUAAAACUAUAUGGAGGAGGACUUUAAUUUUCCCCUCUCAGAACUCAAUAAAUUUAAUCAACCAAAAAAAAAAAAAACAAGAAAGAAGUUAAGAAGAAUAAAAUUUUGGGAAAGUUUCUUAUGAUAGAUAUGAAGAAAAUUGAAUGAGAAUAGAAAGAAAUGUAACUAUUUUUGGAAGCAUUUUGGCACCUGCACAAAAAUUGAUUAUGUAUCAGGACAUAAAAAUUUCAUAACUAAGUAUAGAAAAAUAGAAUUAGUAAAUGCCUCAUUUUCAAAUAAUAAUGUGAUAACAUUAUAUUCAAUAAUGGACAAUGGAAAGAAAAAAUUUAAAUUAAUUGGAAGUUAAAUAAUCUAACCCUAAAGAACAGGUCAUUAAAACAAUUGAUCAUUUCACUAAAGAAAAUAACAAAAAAAAAAAACCAAAAUUUGUGGGAUGCAGCCUGAAAGUGGUAUUUGGGAGAAAAUUUAUGUCUUAAAUUGCUUACAUCAAUAAAAUAAAGAAAGAGAAGAUCAAUGAAUUGGACAUGCAACUAAAAAAUCUAGAAAAAGAAAAAUUUUAACUCCCCAAUUAUUUGGAACCAAAUUGAAAAUCAUGAAAAAUAAAAGAAGAGAAUAUUUUUUAAAAAUGUAAGAAAACUAUUAAAUGAAUUUCUGAUAAAGUCUUCAUUUUAAAAAUAUAUAAUGAACUGAGUCAUUAUGCAAAUCAUUCCUCAAUUGAUAAAUGGUCCAAUAUCAGACAGAUAAAUCAAAGCUAUCUAUAUUCAUAUGGAAAAAAAAUGUUUUCAGUCUCUAUUGAUUAGAGAAUUUCUCAUUAAAACUCCUCUGAGUUACUACCUCACACUUAACCAAGUGCUUAAUAUGACAAAAAAAGGAAAAUGUUGAAUGUUGGAGAAGUGUGGGAAAACUGGGACACUAAUGCAUUACUGUUGAAAUUAUGAACUGAUUCAAUCAUUCUAGAGAGUAAUUUUUAAUUAUGUCCAAAGGACUAUAAAACUGUGCAUACCCUUUAAUUCAACAACAUCAUUAAUUGGUCCAUAUUCUGAAUAUAUCCAAAAAUAUUUAUACUAGCUCUUUUUGUGGUAGCUAAGACUUGGAAUCAAAGGGAAGCCGAUUGUUUGGGGAAUAGCUAAACAAGCCAUGAUAUAUGAUCGUAAUGGAAUGCUGAUUGUGCUGUAAGAUAUGAUUAGCAGGAUAAUUUCAGAAAAAUCUGGAAAGACUUACAUGAACCUACACAUAGUGAAGUGCAUAGAACCAAGAUGACAACAUUGUACACAGUAACAGCAAGAUUGUUCAAUGAAGAAUAAUUUAUAACUUAACUAUUCUCAGCAUGCUUUAGUCCCAAAGAACUAAUGAUGAAGUAUACUAUACACCUCCAGAGAAAGAACUGAUAUUAUUUGAAUAAAGACUGAAACAUGAUAUUUUUCACUUUCUUUGAGUCUAGAGGAGUUCAAUUCAGUAGGAAAUGAAAUGACCAUUUUUCUGCAUCCCCAAGGAGGAGUUAUUUCUAUUUUCCAUCAUCUUUACCAAUUUGAUGAAUGUAAGAUGAAAACUCAGAGAUGUUUUGAUUUGUAUUUUACUUGUUAGUGAGUUGGAACAGUCUUUCAUAUGGUUGUUAAUCGUUUGUAAUCUUCUGACAACUACAUAUACACAUGCUUUAACCACUCUUCUACUUCUUUGGUUGUUAUGUACUUUAAUUAGUACCAGUAUCAGACUUUUGGCAAAGAUAUUUAAGGCAAAGAUUUUUUUCCCCUGGUGGACAGAAAAUAUCACAUCUCUAACCAAAUUCAUUCAAAAAUAUAUUUAUUUUUGAAGCAUUAAAGAUGCUAUUUAUCAAGGUUAAAAGAACCUUGAACAUCUACCCAAAACUUUCUUCACCACAGUCCUGUGAGAUAGGAUGUAUAAAUAUUAUUAUUUCCAUUUUGUAGAAUAAGAAACAGACUAAGUAAGGUGUAAUGAUUUUGUCUCUGACUGUUAAGCCAGAAUUGGACUCAGGUCCCUUAACUCCAAGCAUACUCCUGUCUAGCAUGCCAGGAUGCUUUUCUAAAUUGGAAAUUUUGGUUUUCUUUCACUUUGAAAAACACUGCAGUUGGAAUUCCCAGAGUAGAACACAAUUGAUAGUGUACUGUUUACUCUCAGGAACUUCAUUUUUAACAAAAUGCAGGCCCCUGCAUCCCUCACCCAAUGUUCAUGAAGGACGAAUGAAGAAUCCCUUCAUCAACAAAUUCUGUUCAAAGCUUAAUUUCAUGAUCCUGUGAACCUCAAAAAGUUUGAAGAUCCCUCCCUAAAGAUAUUUCCUAGAAGUCACCCUCUUGUCUAUUCAAUUCCGCUUCCCUUUAUUAAUCAUUUAUGUAAAUAACAAGUUAUCGACAGCUUCAUUAUUCUGUCAUUUUCAAUGUGACUUAGCAAGUUGACAAAUUAGAAAGAAAUUGUAUCUGGUCCUGGUUUGUUAUUCCACAAAAACAAACUUAAAAAAAAUAUUCUCAAUGAUAUUAUUUUUCACAGAUUAUUUUUUUAUUUCUAAGACCAUUUCUUCUUUACCUCUGCCUCAAAGUUCUAUCUUCCUUUAAGACCUGCAGCCUUAACACAAUGUUUUGCAUGAAGUCUCACCUCAUUCCCACCAAUUAUUAGUGUCUUCUGUCUCAAAAUACCUUGUAUUUAACUCUUUUGUAUGUUUGUUUUAGUCACUAUUUUUUUAUUAUUUAUUGCAUUAUUUAUGCAACUAUUGAUAUUUCUACUUGUUUUCCAUGUCUGGAUGUAAAUUCUCAAAAGGGAAUGCUUUAGUGUUUUUACUUGUAUUUCUAAUGCUUGAUCCAUCAAAGGUAAUCAAUAAAUAUUUUUACUUGAUUGUUGAAUACAAAGAAA